rnacentral:ncRNA from 1 species
CCGGAAAAGGGGCAUUCCUUUUUAGAAAUUUCUACUUUAAUUUGAUAGAAUAAAUUACUUUUAUUUACAUACAAUUAUGGAAAUUUUAGUUUUACCAGUUGGAAAAAUUAAUAUUACUAUAAAAAUAUAGACUUAGUUAAGAUAAUUCUAUUUGAGGUAAAUAUGGUGCCAGCAACCGCGGUCAUACCUUUAUCUGCAAGUAAUCUCAAAAAACAAUAUAAAAAUAUAAGAUUAUAUGCAGCUUCAUAGUGAAAUAUAAUUUGCAAAAUUUUUUAUUACUUAUUUAAAUAUCAAAUAGGCCUAUAAACUAGGAUUAGAUACCCUACUAUUCUUAUGAACAUUUUUAGUUUGAGGAGUAAGCAAGUAUAAAUGUUAAACUCAAAAAUUAUGGCGGCUUUAAUAAAUUAUAGGGGAACUUACUAAGUAAAUGAUAGCCACCAAGAAAUAUUCACUUUAUUUUAUAGUUUGUAUGCCGUCGUCUUAAAUAUUUAUGAAAAAUAUUUUAUAGCGUAUAAAAUACACUUAUGACAGAUCAAGGUGCAGCCUAUAAUAAAGACUAAAGCGAGUUACAAUAACAUAAAUAUUUCAGAUGGUUAAGCAUUUUCAUGCACCGGAAGAUGGACUUAUAAGUAAUAUAUUUAAUUUUAAUAAGAUUUUGAAUAAAAAUAUUAAAGUGC